UCCGUAACUCGUAACCCAGUCCGACAUUCAUUCAUUUCAUGCCAAACUUUGUGCAUAGUGGACAUUUUGUAUGUCGUGGCAGAUAUCGUGAUUAAUUUCGCGUCAGAUAAUUAGUUUAUCUAACAUUUAUUUCUUUUGUUAAUUUUAUAUUAGUUUCUUCAAGAUGUCUCGGUACCGUGAAUGGGAUCUAUCUUGCAAAGUGUACGUAGGAAAUCUUGGCACAAACGCAUCUAAAUACGAAAUUGAAAAAGUCUUUUCAAAAUAUGGCAGUAUUAGAAAUGUGUGGGUGGCGAGAAAUCCGCCCGGUUUUGCGUUUGUUGAAUAUGAAGAUCCGAGAGACGCCGAAGAUUCCGUACGCGGUUUAGAUGGCACACGUUGUUGCGGCACAAGAAUUCGUGUUGAGAUGAGCAACGGGAGGACACGACGAGAUCGCAGGUCCAUUUUAUCAACCAACCACCAACACACCAACGACCUCACCACAUCUCUACACCACAACUACGGCUUCUUUACCAAUAAGACAUCCGCGAACGUCGCUCGCAACACCCCGCUCUGCGAUCGGCUCUCCAAAUUACUACGCGCAGCUGAAGCCUUCGUCAACUGCGUCCCUCCCCUCCUCUUAACUGCCAUCACCUAGUCCCUAACCCUAACCAAGACCUAACAGUUCUAAAGAUGAGCCACUGUAGGAACCUAGUAUCCUGUACCUUUGCAAAAUCCUGAUGCUUCACGACUGCACACUUUCGCCGUCACCGAGGCACGGAACUAGGAAUUCGACUAACGGAGCUCGACUCUUCCCCGUGUCCGCAAUUUGUACUCGAAACUCCCGGUUUAAUCAUCAUUCGAAGAUCAUGUUGCAACUUGCUCCGCCUCGAUAGUCAAACCCCCUCCGGCCUCACAGCAGCUCUCACAACGCUCGACGACCUACAGGCUCACCAAGUCUCGAACCCGCAGUCGCAGCCCCCGGCGUCGGUCUUACUCGCGAGGUCGCUCGGGCUCCCGCCGCCGGUCGCCGUCAGUGAGACGCUCCCGGUCGCGCGACCGCCGCAGUCGUUCUGAUAGCAAGACCAGGUACAUAAGUCCCGAGAAAAGUCCCUACCGCCGUUCCGCGUCACGCUCCAGGUCGAAGGAGCGCCGCAGCAGAUCACUCAGUAGGAACAG